GGAGGAGCUGCCAGUCAUCACCUGUCACAGUCACAGGACCAUGUGGGUGUCAGCGGGCAGGCCUCCCGUGCCCAGGCCCUGUCUCACUGGCUGGGCAGAGCCCGAGGACAGGAUAAAAGGGCGCUGGGGCAGGGCCGCUCCAUCCACCGCCCUCCUGAGGUGCUGACUUACCCACUGCGGCCCGUGUGUCUGCUCCAGAACCCUCACCGCCAAGAUGUCCUGCCAGCAGAGCCAACAGCAGUGCCAGGCCCCUCCCAAGUGUCCUGCCCCUAAAUGCCCCCCAAAGUGUCCCCCAAAGUGCCCUCCAGCCUCUUCCUGCUGUAGUGUCAGCUCCGGGGACUGCUGUGGCCCCAGCCUAGGGAGCUGCUGUGGCCCCAGCUCCGGGGCUGGCGGCUGCUUCCUGGGCCACCACAGGCACCACAGAGCCCACUGCCACCGCAGGCACCACAAACCUGCUGACUGCUGCAGCCAACCCUCGGGGGGCUCCAGCUGCUGCGGAGGGGGCGUGGGUCAGUCCUCCGGAGGCUGCUGCUGAAACGGACCUGCGCCAACCAGAGCAGACUUGGGGCAGGGAACUGCUGGCACUUUGUCCUUCUCCUCAGAGGCCCUCCUCAGCGUCUGACACGUCCCAGAGGAGACACUGAACUUGCACAGACAGUAGCUCCUCCCUGGGUUCCUGAAACAAAUCUGCUCCUGCAGCCCCAUCAUCUGGCCUAGGAUGCACAUUCCCAUGUCAGAGCCCUGUGUCUCUCCAUGCUGUACCUUCUUCCAGCAAUAAAACCAGAAACCUGCUCAGCA